rnacentral:rRNA from 1 species
UGCAGUCGACGGCAGCAUGAUCUAGCUUGCUAGAUUGAUGGCGAGUGGCGAACGGGUGAGUAAUACAUCGGAACGUGCCCUGUAGUGGGGGAUAACUAGUCGAAAGAUUAGCUAAUACCGCAUACGACCUGAGGGUGAAAGUGGGGGACCGCAAGGCCUCAUGCUAUAGGAGCGGCCGAUGUCUGAUUAGCUAGUUGGUGGGGUAAAGGCCCACCAAGGCGACGAUCAGUAGCUGGUCUGAGAGGACGAUCAGCCACACUGGGACUGAGACACGGCCCAGACUCCUACGGGAGGCAGCAGUGGGGAAUUUUGGACAAUGGGCGAAAGCCUGAUCCAGCAAUGCCGCGUGUGUGAAGAAGGCCUUCGGGUUGUAAAGCACUUUUGUCCGGAAAGAAAUGGCUCUGGUUAAUACCUGGGGUCGAUGACGGUACCGGAAGAAUAAGGACCGGCUAACUACGUGCCAGCAGCCGCGGUAAUACGUAGGGUCCAAGCGU